UACGGGGGGGGCAAGCGUUGUUCGGAAUUACUGGGCGUAAAGGGCUCGUAGGCGGCCAACUAAGUCAGACGUGAAAUCCCUCGGCUUAACCGGGGAACUGCGUCUGAUACUGGAUGGCUUGAGUUUGGGAGAGGGACGCGGAAUUCCAGGUGUAGCGGUGAAAUGCGUAGAUAUCUGGAGGAACACCGGUGGCGAAGGCGGCGUCCUGGACCAAUACUGACACUGAGUGAGCGAAAGCCAGGGGAGCAAACGGG
rnacentral:rRNA from 1 species